AACGACGCACCAUUAAAACCAUCAAAUAAAAGGAAAAACAAAACAGUCAAAUACUUAAUCCAAAAAGCAAGAAAAUGAAACCCUAAACUGAACUAAAAAAGAGGCAUUCGAUCAAUUUCCUUAAUCUACGAGCCCUAGCUGCAUCAGCACCAGAGGUAAAAGCUUCCCACCCAUCUCCGGCGAAAAAAGAAAAAACAUUAAAAGCUCUUUAGAAGCCUUCUGUAAAAUGACUGAGUUCUUCGGAACUACCUUGAUAUAUUUCUGGUCUCAUCCCUCACUCUCUAACCCCCGUCUCAUUCCCUGUCCGUUCUCUUUCAACCAACUCCACCACAGAAACCGGGGCUUCCUCCAUCCAGUAUUCCGGUUGUUCGUGGUGCCAUCCUGCUUUGGCCAAAGUGUGCGAAGCGCUAUUAGCCAGACAAGGUACAAAUCAAAACUUUUAUGUGUGUGAAAUUAUUGAUUUUGUUUUGGACUGCCUUGAGGACAUUACUGAUAUGAGAUUUGUCAUCUUUUGCCUUGUUAAUCCUUUUGAUUACAGGGAGUCUCCUUCCACACAGUUAUGUCGAAAGCCCAGAUCUUCCCCAAAUAUGACAACAUGCAAACACGCCCAGGCUUCUGCCAUUGCAGGCGUCGCUAUAUUUUUACUCGGGUAAAUACGUUUUGCCAUUACAAGUCUCUCUUUAUUUCUAGCAAUAGUACAUGCUCUUGAAGUGUUUGAUUCCUGAUGAAAACAUGCAUAAGAAUUGAUCUUAAUCGUGUCUUCAUCGGGUGGUUCCCAUUUAAAAUUUUUUAGCACUGUUUUUUGCACCAGAACACUUUCUAUUAACUCAUUUUCCAUCAUGUAAGCUUUAAUAAAAGAGACCACCUCACACACAUUCGAUUUUAAACCCUCAUGAUACACUCUGUUCCUGUUGUACCAUAUCGCCUAGUAAGUAAUUGCUAUAGUUUUGCAUUUCAGUAAAUCAUAACUCAAUAACUUUUCCACUAACCAAUUAUGCCAACUCUGAUUUCUGUUAAUGGUGGAGUUUGCGACUCCCAGUCCUUGCAGGAUCUUAAUUGUGAAGUUACAGUCUCGAAACAAGUGGGCCACUGACUCCACAUCCAACUUACAUAAUGGGCACCGAUCGUCUCUUACCAGCCCUCUCUUAUUCAAAUUGUGGAGCGUAUGCAUUAAUUCUUUAGAUAGCUUCCACAUACCUAUUUUUAUUUUGUUAGACAACUUUAGUUUCCACAAUUAUGUAUAAUAGGUCUUCGAUUCUGCUUGGUGUAUUGUAAGGUUGGCUUCCGUAUUAAUUAUGUCAGUUGUAAAAAGUCAUUUGUAUUCGUUUUUAACUGUGUACUCACAUGAAUCAUCACAUCUCCACACCAAUACGUUUGGCUGACUUCGAUCAACAGUAGGAAUCUCCAGAAUCCGCUUGAUUUGUUCUUCGCUAAACAACCACUUGAUAACAUCAACAUUCCAAGUAAAUGAUUCCAUCUCUAUUAAGUCCAUAACUUUCAAAAAUUCACAUUGAUAUUCUGAUUACAUAUUCUUCCUUCCCCAAGUCCAGAAAGUCAUGCAUCAUUCCAAAUGUUUAUAGAGGCAACAUUCUCCACUUUCCAGCCUAUCCCCUGUUCCAGAAGUUGUCAGGCAUUCCGGAUACUUCGCGAAGUGUGCGAAGGGUAAGGUC
rnacentral:lncRNA from 1 species